rnacentral:rRNA from 1 species
UACGGGGGGGGCAAGCGUUGUUCGGAAUUACUGGGCGUAAAGGGCUCGUAGGUGGCCAACUAAGUCGGACGUGAAAUCCCUCGGCUUAACCGGGGAACUGCAUCUGAUACUGGAUGGCUUGAGUUCGGGAGAGGGAUGCGGAAUUCCAGGUGUAGCGGUGAAAUGCGUAGAUAUCUGGAGGAACACCGGUGGCGAAGGCGGCAUCCUGGACCGACACUGACGCUGAGGAGCGAAAGCCAGGGGAGCAAACGGG